rnacentral:rRNA from 1 species
UACGGAGGGUGCGAGCGUUGUCCGGAAUCACUGGGCGUAAAGGGCGCGUAGGCGGCCUGAUAAGUAGGGGGUGAAAUCCUGCGGCUUAACCGCAGGGCUGCCUUCUAAACUGUCAGGCUCGAGCACAGUAGAGGCAGGUGGAAUUCCCGGUGUAGCGGUGGAAUGCGUAGAGAUCGGGAAGAACAUCAGUGGCGAAGGCGGCCUGCUGGGCUGUUGCUGACGCUGAGGCGCGACAGCGUGGGGAGCAAACCGG